rnacentral:rRNA from 1 species
AUCUUGAACAAGGAAUAUCUAGUAAACGCAAGUCAUCAACUUGCAUUGAUUACGUCCCUGCCCUUUGUACACACCGCCCGUCGCUUCUACCGAUUGAAUAAUGAGGUGAAUUAGGUGGAUAAGAGCCGCCUCGGCGCGUUCUUAGAAGCUUUGUGAACCUUGUUAUUUAGAGGAAGGAAAAGUCGUAACAAGGUUUCCGUAGGUGAACCUGCGGAAGGAUCAUUAUUACUUAUAUUUGUUUAUUAUUGCAAAAUAAAAACAUUUAUAAAAACCGCGAACCUCGUUCUUUUAAUUAAUUUUGCUGACUACCGAUUUACUACACAAACGCAAAAAGCAUAUACAUAUGACUUUUGCAAGACAUGCCGACAUCAAUCUUUGCAAUGGAUGACUAGGCUCUCGCAACGAUGAAGAACGCAUCCAAAUGCGAUACUUGAUGUGAAUCGACCGUUUCGAGCAUUGAGUAUUUGAAUGCAAAUUGCGCCGCCAGCCGGCAUGCUUCCUUGAGAACCUUUUUUACUUAUGUAUUAUAUUACACAGCCGAUUGGUUGUGUGUCGUCGGGCGUCAAGCAGACCCAGAAUUUGCUUGCUUGUCGCCAGAGCCUGAGAACUUGCUCCGACCGGGCAGCCAGCCGCGCGACGUGUUCGUACGGCGCUCCUCCAACCGCAGCAUCUUCUUGCAAAAAAACUUACAAAAGUCUCAAGUGAAGUAAGGCG